UGAUGCAGACGGCCCCACCUCA
rnacentral:piRNA from 1 species